GAAAUUUUUAUUUUAUUUAUAAAUUUAUUUAGUAAAAUUUUUUUAAAAAUAAUUUUAAUAGUUAGUUUUUUAGUAUAUUUUAUAGAAAAAAUAAUAUUUAUGAUAGUAAAUUAGUAUUGUAAAAGAAUAAUGAAAUAUAUUGAAAAUAUAAUUAUUUAAAAGAAAAAUUCAUUUUUUGUACCUUUUGUAUCAGGGUUUAUUAAAUAAUUUUUAUUAAUAAAUAAAUUUCUCGAAUUUAAAAGAGUUAAUGAAUUAUUAAAGUUAAUGUGGUAUAAUUAUUUUUAAUAAUUUGUUGGUAAUGAAAUGUUAUUCGUUUUUAAAUAUAUCUAGUUUUUUAAGAAAUAAAUUUAAUUUAAUUAUUUUUAAUAUAAUAUAUUAUUUAUUUAAUAUAUUAUUUAUUAAUAAAAAUAUAUUAAGGGAUAAGCUUUAAUUUAUUUUCUAUAAUAAAAGUAUAAAAAAAUUUAAGUAUAGGUUUAGAAAUAGCCAUUAAUAAAAAAUUUGUUUUAAUUUAUUAAUUUAUUUUUAUAAUUUUUUUUUAUUUAGAUUAUUUAUUAAAAUAAUUAUUUUAAUUAUUAAAAUGAUGUAAUAAUGAUAAAAUUAGUAUAAUAUUUUGUUUAUUUUUAAUAUAAAUAUAGAUUAAAUUAAGGAAUUCAGCAAAAUUAAUACUCACCUGUUUAACAAAAACAUGUCUUUUUGAUAAUAAUUUAAAGUCUAACCUGCCCACUGAAUUUUUGAAGGGCCGCGGUAUUUUGACUGUGCAAAGGUAGCAUAAUCAUUAGUCUUUUAAUUGAAGGCUUGUAUGAAUGGUUGAAUGAGGUAUUAACUGUCUCAAUUUAAUAAUAGUUAGAAUUUUAUUUUUAAGUUAAAAAGCUUAAAUUUUAUUGGAGGACGAGAAGACCCUAUAGAUCUUUAUAAUUUUUUUUAAUAAUAAUUUUAUAGUAAUUAUUUAUUUUUAUUAAAUUAAUUAUUUUAUUGGGGUGAUAAAAAAAUUUAUUAAACUUUUUUUGUAAAUAAACAAUAAUUUUUGAUUAAUUGAUCCAUUUUUAGUGAUUAUAAGAUUAAGUUACCUUAGGGAUAACAGUGUAAUUUUUUUGGAAAGUUCAUAUUUAUAAAAAAGAUUGCAACCUCGAUGUUGAAUUAAAGGUAAAUUUUAGGUGUAGAAGUUUAAAAUUUAGGUCUGUUCGACCUUUAGAUCUUUACAUGAUUUGAGUUCAAACCGGUGUAAGCCAGGUUGGUUUCUAUCCUCAAUUAAAAAAAAAUAUUUUAGUACGAAAGGACCAAAUAUUUUAAUUAAAUUAUUUUUUAUGAAUAAUAAUAAU
rnacentral:rRNA from 1 species